GAUCCUGCUCAGGACGAACGCUGGCGGCGUGCCUAAUACAUGCAAGUAGAACGCUGAAGAGAGGAGCUUGCUCUUCUUGGAUGAGUUGCGAACGGGUGAGUAACGCGUAGGUAACCUGCCUUGUAGCGGGGGAUAACUAUUGGAAACGAUAGCUAAUACCGCAUAACAAUGGAUGACACAUGUCAUUUAUUUGAAAGGGGCAAUUGCUCCACUACAAGAUGGACCUGCGUUG
rnacentral:rRNA from 1 species